rnacentral:lncRNA from 1 species
GGUGGAGCACAUGGUUUCUGUGGGUAAACACUAAUGAAUGGAAUUAAUUAAGCUUGGAGAAAUGUGAAGUUUAGGCGUAGAGCACCACACAACAAAUAGCUGGUGGGCACAAAUGAAAGGGAAUAGAGAUAAAAUUGCGUACACGCAAUGGGUGCACAACCUCUUCAUCAGGUGCUUCCCCUUCUAACACACUAACCAAUAACCUAUGUGUGGGAAAUGCAAAUUCAAUAGAAACGCAUAUUUCGUCCCACC